AGAGUUUGAUCCUGGCUCAGGAUGAACGCUGGCGGCGUGCUUAACACAUGCAAGUCGAGCGAUGAAGUUUCCUUCGGGAAACGGAUUAGCGGCGGACGGGUGAGUAACACGUGGGUAACCUGCCUCAUAGAGUGGAAUAGCCUUCCGAAAGGAAGAUUAAUACCGCAUAAUGUUGAAAGAUGGCAUCAUCAUUCAACCAAAGGAGCAAUCUGCUAUGAGAUGGACCCGCGGCGCAUUAGCUAGUUGGUGGGGUAACGGCCUACCAAGGCGACGAUGCGUAGCCGACCUGAGAGGGUGAUCGGCCACAUUGGGACUGAGACACGGCCCAGACUCCUACGGGAGGCAGCAGUGGGGAAUAUUGCACAAUGGGGGAAACCCUGAUGCAGCAACGCCGCGUGAGUGAUGAAGGUUUUCGGAUCGUAAAGCUCUGUCUUUGGGGAAGAUAAUGACGGUACCCAAGGAGGAAGCCACGGCUAACUACGUGCCAGCAGCCGCGGUAAGAGUACUGGU
rnacentral:rRNA from 1 species